rnacentral:rRNA from 2 species
GCAAGUCGAGCGGACUUUUGGGAGCUUGCUCCCAGAAGUCAGCGGCGGACGGGUGAGUAACACGUGGGCAACCUGCCUGUAAGACUGGGAUAACUCCGGGAAACCGGGGCUAAUACCGGAUAAUUCUUUCCCUCACAUGAGGGAAAGCUGAAAGAUGGUUUCGGCUAUCACUUACAGAUGGGCCCGCGGCGCAUUAGCUAGUUGGUGAGGUAACGGCUCACCAAGGCAACGAUGCGUAGCCGACCUGAGAGGGUGAUCGGCCACACUGGGACUGAGACACGGCCCAGACUCCUACGGGAGGCAGCAGUAGGGAAUCUUCCGCAAUGGACGAAAGUCUGACGGAGCAACGCCGCGUGAGUGAUGAAGGUUUUCGGAUCGUAAAACUCUGUUGUUAGGGAAGAACAAGUACCGGAGUAACUGCCGGUACCUUGACGGUACCUAACCAGAAAGCCACGGCUAACUACGUGCCAGCAGCCGCGGUAAUACGUAGGUGGCAAGCGUUGUCCGGAAUUAUUGGGCGUAAAGCGCGCGCAGGCGGUUCCUUAAGUCUGAUGUGAAAGCCCACGGCUCAACCGUGGAGGGUCAUUGGAAACUGGGGAACUUGAGUGCAGAAGAGGAGAGUGGAAUUCCACGUGUAGCGGUGAAAUGCGU